AUACCGAAAAAAAUAUACCCCUAUUUUUUAUUUUGAAAUCAAAAAAUAUUUAGAGGUCGCUGAAAGCGCUCACAGUCUUCCAUGUACUUUAUAAGGAA